UUUCUUCUUCUUUCUACUUUCUUCUUUCUCUUUUGUUCUUCUUCUCGCCAGACCCACAGAGAGAGUGACGUGAGAGGGAGAUUUAGAGGGAGAGAUCAAGAGGGUUGAGAGACAGUGAGAUGAGACCGAGAGAGAGAGCCGAGAGAUUGAGGGAGAGAUCGGAGCCCGAUCCUCCGGUGGAUGACGCCGGUGAAGCUACGAUGGCCGAUCUUCUAGGUGCGAUUUCCGGCGAGUUUUCUGGCGGUCCCAGCAGUGAUUUCCGGCGAGCUCGUUGACCCAGGAACCCAUGGAGACCUGAAACCCAUUGAACCCGAGAGAGAGAUCCGUGACCCGAGACCCGUGAAACCUGACCCUCUAGGUGCGGUUUUCCGGCGAACCAAAGCCGAUUUCCGGAUCAUGUUCGGAUUGGAGACUUUAAUUGGUUCUCCAAUGUAAAGUCCAAGUGACUAGAGUCCAAGGAGUGUUCGAGUUGGAGUCUAAUGCAGCCAAGAUGAUGUUUCUUUGGCUGCAGGUACUUCGGUAUAGUCGAUGGGUUGGUAGCAGUGUGCUUGGGAUAUUAUGACUGAAGCUCACCGCGACGGUUGUAAUUGUCGGACCACGGGUUGUCCACUGUUUUAUAGGUUUGGUAUAGCUUAUGACGUUUGUGUCACAUAUUCUUUGUAAAGCUAUAGUAGUUUUGUAAAUAAUGUGUUAAUAAGACUCAUACAGAUAGACGUUAAAUGGCUCUUUGUGGUAAUUAAUUUGUAAUAAAUGUAUAAGUUGUAAUUUCCGCUAUUCAGAUUUAUGUUUUCCGCUGCAUAGA